CACCCCCUUGUAAAUAUUGAAUAUAAAACUGGUUGGGCCAGGCCAGGAAAAACAUGUAGAUCAGCUUUCUUCGUGGAUUGCAAUUUGUAUAAAAAUUCUAUCCGAGUCGAGAUCAAAAACUUGGUCAUCAGCCGAAUGGAGAAGAUAGGAGACAAGAGAGGAUACAAUGGAAAGCUUCAUGAGUCGAUGAACAUAAUAGGGUCGACGUUGAAGAGCAUGUCACGGGGCAAGAAACAAGCUCUUGUCCGUUGGGGUGGG
rnacentral:lncRNA from 1 species